rnacentral:lncRNA from 1 species
GGGAUUCCUGACGGUAUUUCCCGAUUUCUUGAGCAAGAAAAGAAGAUCACACUCAGCUGCAUCUCGAGAAUCAGCAGAACAGCCAACUGGGGCAUUUAUCAAAAAAAGAGAAAAAGAAAAAAAGAGAGGAGGGUGCAAAAUCAAAAAAAAAAAAGAAAUCAAUCAAAAUCAAAAGAAAUCAAAAAAAAUCAAAAGAAAAAAAAACAAAAGAAAGAUAGCACCCUCAAAGUCCCAAGUUGGCUGAUGCUGAAUUCGAUCGAAAAGAAGAGAUCAACUGCCAUGUGUCAUGGUC